UGGGGAAUAUUGCACAAUGGGCGCAAGCCUGAUGCAGCCAUGCCGCGUGUAUGAAGAAGGCCUUCGGGUUGUAAAGUACUUUCAGUCGGGAGGAAGGUGGUAAGGUUAAUAACCUUAUCAAUUGACGUUACCGACAGAAGAAGCACCGGCUAACUCCGUGCCAGCAGCCGCGGUAAUACGGAGGGUGCAAGCGUUAAUCGGGAUUACUGGGCGUAAAGCGCACGCAGGCGGUUGAUUGAGUCAGAUGUGAAAUCCCCGGGCUCAACCUGGGAACUGCAUUCGAAACUGGAAGGCUGGGGUCUUGUAGAGGGGGGUAGAAUUCCAGGUGUGGCGGUGAAAUGCGUAGAGAUCUGGAGGAAUACCGGUGGCGAAGGCGGCCCCCUGGACAAAGACUGACGCUCAGGUGCGAAAGCGUGGGGAGCAAACAGG
rnacentral:rRNA from 1 species